rnacentral:rRNA from 1 species
UACCUGCAGCUCUAGUGGUGAUCGCUAUUAUUGGGCCUAAAACGUCCGUAGCCGGUUUAUUAAAUGCCUGGGUAAAUCGUGUAGCUUAACUAUACGAAUUCCGGGUAGACUGAUAAGCUUGAGAUCGGGAGAAGUUAGAGGUACUCCUGGGGUAGAGGUGAAAUUCUGUAAUCCUAGGGGGACCACCAGUGGCGAAGGCGUCUGACUAGAACGAGUCUGACGGUGAGGGACGAAGCCCUGGGGCGCAAACCGGAUUAGAUACCCGGGUAGUCCAGGGUGUAAACGCUGCUUGCUUGAUGUUAGUCGGGCUCCGAGCCCGAUUAGUGUCGGAGAGAAGUUGUUAAGCAAGCUGCCUGGGAAGUACGGCCGCAAGACUGAAACUUAAAGGAAUUGGCGGGGGAGCGACAGCAACGGGUGGAGCGUGCGGUUU